rnacentral:rRNA from 1 species
GGUCGACGAUUUUCGCAAUGCCCGAAAGGGUGACGAAGCGACGCCGCGUGGAUGAAGAAGGCCUUCGGGUUGUAAAAUCCUGUCAGGAGUUAAGAAAUGUAGGUGCGAUAAUACCGUGCCUAUUUGACAAAGGCUCCAAAGGAAGCCACGGCUAACUCUGUGCCAGCAGCCGCGGUAAUACAGAGGUGGCAAGCGUUGUUCGGAAUUAUUGGGCGUAAAGAGCACGUAGGUGGAUUUGUUAGUCAGAUGUGAAAGCCUUUCGUUCAACGGAAGAAUUGCAUCUGAAACUACAAACCUUGAGUAUAGGAGGGGAGGGUGGAACUUCUGGUGGAGCGGUGAAAUGCGUAGAUAUCAGAAGGAACGCCGGCGGCGAAAGCGACUCUCUGGCCUAUAACUGACACUGAGUGUGCGAAAGCUAGGGGAGCAAACGGGAUUAGAUACCCCGGUAGUCCUAGCCGUAAACGAUGGGCACUAAGUAGAGGGGUUUU